rnacentral:ncRNA from 2 species
UUGUCGUUGCAAAAGAAAUCCUGCUCAGUAUGAGAGGAACCGCAGGUUCGGACAAAUGGUACAUGUGCCUGCUCGACCGAGCAAUGGCACGACGCUAUCGUCCGAGGGAUUAUGACUGAACGCCUCUAAGUCAGAAUCCCGUCAUUAUACGGUAACGAUACCGUUAAGUACUCAGUGUGGCCAUUGUCAUACAAUCUAGUAAAAAUGCAUCUUGGUCCUCUACGCAAGUGUUUUUCUACUUUCUCUCAUGUUUAAUGCAUUUUAUAAUCAGCAAGUAUUAUGCUUUAGAAAUUGCGAACAAAAUAUACAACAAUCUGUGUGAUUCGAACGUAAAAAACGGCUCUAAACAAAAUUUUAUUUUGCCAUAGAGACCCAUGUUAAUUUUCAACUUUGA